rnacentral:rRNA from 1 species
GACGAACCGUGCGAACGUUAUUCGGAAUCACUGGGCUUAAAGCGCGUGUAGGCGGAUCGGCGCGUCGCCCGCUCAAAUCCCCCGGCUCAACCGGGGAACUGGCGGCGAUACGGCCAAUCUGGAGGGGCGUAGGGGGACCGGGAACUUCCGGUGGAGCGGUGAAAUGCGUUGAGAUCGGAAGGAACGCCCGUGGCGAAAGCGCGGUCCUGGACGCCUACUGACGCUGAGACGCGAAAGCCAGGGGAGCAAACGGG